CCGCGCCGGCCAAUUUUUUUCUUCUUAAUGUAAUCAUUGCCUGAGCAUGGGAACCUACAAGGCCUGGAUCAACACCUGGUUGGGACAGGAGACCACCAGGGCAGUGCACAACUGGGAUUUCAGUCUCCCGUGUCAUCACCUGGGUCCACUGGCGCCACUGAGGGCAGCUAGACUCUGCAGCCAGGCGGCCUGGAUUCAACUCCCUGCCUGGGUCUCACCAGCACUUUCCCUCUUGGUGCCUCAGUUUCCUCAUCUAUGAAAUAGGGAAACUAACAGCAUUUAUUUAUUGUGGUUGGAUGAAUGAAAAGGGUUAGUAUAUAUGAGGUGUUUGCAGCUGUGCCAUAUCAUUUUUGUUAUUUUAUUAUAUUUUGAUAUAUUACAUAUGCUGUAAUUGCAUUAUUAUAGGUGACCUUUAUGAGUGAGUGUCCUGGUGAUGGCUCUUCCUGGGGAGCCCAGGACCAGCUUUCCUGGCACCUGAGGUCCUAUCACCCCUGUUACACUCUCAUGCAUUACCCCAUUCUACUCUGUCUUCAUAUUUUAUACUAUUGAUAUUUCGUUCUUAAACAGACAUUUCUGGUCUGUGUUUUAAUUCAAGUGUCUGGGAAGGGAUAGAGUGUGAGGUUCAGGAGAGAAGGAGAGGUCUGUCUUGAUGCCUUGACACAGCACAAAGAAAUCUCCCCUCCUCCCCAACAUCGCCCUGUCAGUUCUCAGUGAGGGACAGAUUCACAGCAACGUAUACAAUUAUAAGUUGGAAGAAUGAGGCGGGGAGAGAGAGAGAGAGACAGAGAGACAGAGAGAGCGAGAGCUGAACUGGAAUAGGCUAGGGGUUGUGUCCCACUAGGAACCAUAAUCGAUCUUUGCCAUUUUGAAAGUGUAUCCCCUGAGCUGCCUUCAUAGAGUCCCGGAGGGAAACCUGUUUUCACAGAAAUACCAAGAUGCCAUCUGCCUGUUUCAUUAUGUUCACUUUUCCAUUAAUGCUGCAAAUGCCAAGGUCGGUAACACACCCAGCACCUUAGCAGAACCAAGGCAGUGGCUCCAAACUGCAUUCCCACCUAAGAAUGUUUUUGAUGGAGAAGGAAAAAAAAUUUAUGUUCAUUAAAUUUUAAUCCUUGAGUACAUGUCUUUAAUAUUUCUGUGAGAAAAUGGGAAAUAUGCAUAAAACACUUACUACACAGAGAAGCAGGAUGGUAACCUUGAGAAAGUGCACUUGUGUGACUCAGUUAUGAGUUCAACCAGCAGAUCUCAUUCACCCAUGGAAAGACAAUGGCAUUAUUUCCAGUUUGGGGGUAUUAUGAAUAAAGCUGCAAGAGUGUUUGUGUACAGGUAUUUUGUGAACAUAAAGUUUUCCCUUGUUUGAAAUAAGUGCCUAGUAGGGCAAUUGCUAGUCAUAAGGUAAACUGCAUGUUCAGUUUGAAGAAAACUGCAAUAUCCAUUUCCAGA